rnacentral:ncRNA from 1 species
UAGAUAGAGGCGCGGUAUUCAUCAGUACCCCGCGGCAAGGACAGGCAGCCGCCGCAGGAGAAAGGGAACAUCGCCGAAGGAUCGGGAAGCUUGCCUGACUGACCGAUUCUGGGCCGUCCAAAAACAUUGGCCGGACUGUCACAAGACUUUGUGGAGCGCUAUCG